GUUUCCCCAAGGAUAUGCAUACCAGAAUUGUAGACUACAUUAUUUUCUUUGCUUUUCUCAUGUGGGUGCCUUUCCCCCAUGAGAUCACAGUCCCCAGAGGAAUAGCUCCUGACAAUAAAGAAACUGAAGAUAAGACAACAUUUCUCCUGAAAUAGAAGAGAUGGAGUUGUAUUAGAAACGGUAGUGUUUAUUGCAUAAUAAUAAUUGGAAUUACAACUUAUUGAGUGCUCAUAGAUGAUAAUUGUCAUGCUAGAGCAUAACGUUAAUUCUUAUUUAAUCCUCACAGCUACUCUGAGGUAAGUACUCAUGUCAUUUCCAUCUUACAGAUGAAGAAACAGGCUCAAAGAGGUGAAAAUAGUCUGGGCACAGUGGCUUACACCUGUAAACACAGCACGUUGGGAGGCUGAGGCAGGAGGAUCACUUGAGCUCAAGAGUUUGAGACUAAUCUGGGCAACGUGGCAAGACCUUGUCUCUACAAAAAAAUUUAAAAAUAAGCCAGGUGUGGUAGUAUGCACCUGUGGUCUCAGCUACUCAGGAAGCUGAGGUGGGAGGAUCACUUGAGCCCAAGAGGUCAAGGUUGCAGUGAACUAUGAUCGUGCCACCACACUCCAGCCUGGGUGACAAAAAGGAAAGAAAAAAGAAAAAAAAAAGAGGUGAAAUAACUUGUCCGAGUUCAAAUCAUGAAUACAUUAGCCAGAUUUUGAACUGAGGACUGACUCUAGAAUGGAAGUUCUUCAUUGCUGUGUAAUGUAGGGUGAACAUGCAGGCUUUGAGUUCCAGUACCUGUGGUCAUUAAGAGUGAGCUGAUUUUUUUCAAUCUUCCUUUAGUUAUAACUGCCAUCACCAAGUCUAGUUUCUCUUUAUCUUCUUGAUUCUUACUAGCGACCUUAGUAAGCUGUUUUAUUUGAAUCAUAAGGUCUAGGCGCGUUUCCCUCCCCCAAAGUUUGUGAUCAGUUUCAUAAUUGUAUAGAUUUGAGUUUGUAUGUUAGCACUAUUGUGGUGUUAUAGUUCAUUGUAGAUACAAUGCUUACAGUUUGGGGACCUAUCUCUAGGCGAAUGGAUUGUGCCUUGAAACAUGGUUGCAUAACAGGUUUGUUGUAGAGAGAGCUAAAUAUCCUUUAAAAAUAAAUGUUGUUUAUGUAAUAAUUUCCACACCACAUCAGCCUUCCCUAGUGAUAAAUAGUAGGCUGAAUAAUGACCACCCAAAUAUAUUAGCUCCUUAUCCCCAGAACUUGUAAAUAUUACCUUAUAAGGAAAAGGAAUAUUUGCAGAUGUGAUUAAAUUAAGGAUCUUGACAUGGGGGGGUUAUAUCUGGGUGGGCGCUAAAUACAAUCACAAGUGUCCUUAUAAGAGAGAGGUGGCCGGGCGCGGUGGCUCACGCCUGUAAUCCCAGCACUUUGGGAGGCCGAGGCGGGUGGAUCACGAGGUCAGGAGAUCGAGACCAUCCUGGCUAACACGGUGAAACCCCGUCUCUACUAAAAAUACAAAAAAUUAGCCGGGCGUGGUAGCGGGCGCCUAUAGUCCCAGCUACUCGGGAGGCUGAGGCAGGAGAAUGGCAUGAACCCGGGAGGUGGAGCUUGCAGUGAGCUGAGAUCGCGCCACUGCACUCCAGCCUGGGCAACAGAGCGAGACUCCGUCUCAAAAAAAAUAAGAAAGAGAGAGAGGCAGAAGGAGACACAGACAAGGUGGAGACAAUGGACAUGGAGGUUAUAUCUGGGUGGGCCCUAAAUACAAUCACAAGUGUCCUUAGAGAGGCAGAGGAAGACACAGACAACAUGGAGACAAUGUAAACACAGAGGCAAAGAGUGGAUAGAUUCUUCCGUAGAACCUCCUGAGGGAGAGCACAGCCUGCUGACCCCUUGAUUUCCACCCAGUGAAGCUAAUAUUGAACUUCAGGCCUCCAGAACUGUGAGAGAAUAAGUUUCUGCUGUUUUAAGCCACUAAGUUUGUCAUCGUUUUUAUGGCAGCAACAAGGGACUAAACAAUGAGGGUAGUCACUUAUCAUACUGCUUAGCUCAUUUUGAGAGAAAAUAUUAUGACUUAGUAAAGACAACAACCAACUAAUAUAACAUGUAUAAUAAUAAUUUCGGCAAACAUGUAUGUAGUCUUUACUAUGUGCCAGGCACUGGUGUAAGCAUUUGAAAUGUAUUUACUCAUUUAUUCUUCAUAGCAACUCCCAUAAUGGGGGUUCUGUUUUAAAUGGGAAGUGCACAGAGAAGUUAGAAUCAAAAAAAAAUCAUUUCUAGAGAAUGGAGCCAUUAUCUUUGGACAUUUAUUAACCUUGAAAAUAUUUAUUUUCUAGUAUAAUGACCAACAGUCAAAGAUAACACUUUCACAGAAUAACAAGAUACCCUGAGUAGUAAACAGCAGAAACAACAGAGUCCCACAGAAACUUCAGAAAUUGCAAUCAUGAGACAGACUGUAAAGUAACUAUCCUGACUAUGUAUAAAGAGAUUUUUAAUGAGCUUGAAAAUAUCUGCAAGAAGGGAAUCUAUAAAAAGUAUUGUAACAGAUUGUUUUAAAACUAAAUAGAACUUACAAAAGUGAAAAAUAUAACCAUCAAAAUUAUGAACUCAGUGAACAUAUUAAUCAGUAGAUCAUAUACAGCUGAGGUCAGAACUGAAAGAUGAGUCUGAAGAAAUCAUCCAGAGUGUAGCAGAGAAGAGAAAAUGAUAGAUCAUAUGCAAGAUAGGGUAAGAGACAUGCAGGUCAGAAUAAGAAUACCUACUAACAUACCCUUAUGGAAGUCCCAGAAGAUAAGGAAAGAGAGUUUUGGGACAGAGGAUAUUGGAAGAGAUGGUAGCAGAGAAUUUUCCUUAAUUGAUAAAAAACAGCAAUCCACAGAUUAAAGAAGCCUAAUAAAUUUAUUCUUCUGACAAGUAGACCCAGGCAGAAGGAAAAUUUAUCUCAGAUGGGUAUCCCAGAAGGAAAAUUAAAGGCAUUUUGAGGCAAACAAAAACAGAGUUUGCCUCUAUUACAUCAAAUGUAAAUGGACUAAAUGUUCCCAUUAAAAGACAAAGAUUGUCAUACUGGAUAAAAUAAUACUAUAACUCUCUGCUGUUUACAGAAGACACACCUAAAAUAUGUCAGUAAGUUUUCAACUGUGGGUGAUUUUGCCCUCAAGAAGAUAUUUAACAGUGUCUGGACUUAUUUUUGGUUGUCAUAACCUGGGGAAGUGCCAUUGUAAACUACAGUGCAUAGAACUGCACCCCCCGCCACACACACACAAGGAAUUACGUGGCCCCAAUAUCACGAUUGGAGAAAUCCUGAUGUAAGUAAACAGAAAGUUAAAAAUGAAAAGAUAGUAAAGAAAAUAUAUACCAAAAGUAAGCCCAAUUGCUAUGUUAAUUAUAGACAAAAUUAUAAUGAGUCAGAAAAUACUUCUAGAAAUAAAAGGGAUUACUUCAAAAUAAUAAAUGUCCAUUUACCAGGAAAAUCUAAGAAUAUUAAAUUUUUAUUCAUCAAAUAAAAUGACCUCAAAAUACUUAAAGCAAAAAUUCCACAACUCUAAGGAAAAAGACAAAUUCAUUAUCAAGGUGUUUUAUAUUUACAUUCUUCUCUCAGCAUUUGAUAUAAAAAGCAGACAAAAAGCCCCAGUAAGAAUAUGUAAGAUUUGAAUAACACAAUUGUCAAAUUUCACUAAGGGACAUAUAUAUAACACUGUACUUAACAACUGCAGAAUAUUAUUUUCAAGCAUACAUGGAAGGAACAGUUAUAAAAGUUGACUCUAUACUGGAUCACAGAGCUAGUGUCAACAAUUUCAUAGAAUUAAAACCACACAUAAUUAUGCUCUCUGACCACAGUGUAUUGUUAGCAUUCAAUAAGAAAAAGAUGACUAGAAAUACCAAUAUUUGGAAAUUAAGCAGUACACAUAUAUAAUCCAUCACAGUGGAAAUUAGAAAAUAUUCCUGACUGAUAAUGAAAAAUACUAUAUAUAAACUUUUCAGUAAAUAAAGCUGAGCUUAGAGGAAAAUUUAUGGCUUUAAAUUCAUCUAAAGAAGUUAGGGGAAAAAACAACAAAUUAAAUCUGAAGAAGGUAGAAGGAAAGAAAUAAUAAAGACAAGAACAGGAAUUAAUGAAAUAGAAAACACUUAUAGAGAGGAUAUACAAAGCCAAAAGGUGAUUCUUUUUAAAGACUGAUAAGACUGCUGCCGGGUGUAGUGGUUCACGCCUGUAAUCCCAGCGCUUUGGGAAGCUGAGGUGGGUGGAUCACUUGAGGCUAGGAAUUCAAGACCUACCUGGCCAACAUGACGAAACCCCGUCUCUACUAAAAAUACAAAAAUUAGCCAGGCGUGGUGGUACAUACCUGCAGUCCCAGCUACUUGGGAGGCUGAGGCACAAGAAUUGCUUGAACCCAGGAGGUGGAGGUUGCAGCGAGCCAAGAUUGCGCCACUGCAUUCCAGCCUGGGCGACACAGAGCGAGACUCUGUCUCCAAAAAAGAAAAAAAAAAAAAAGACUACAAAUCCUUAUAAAGACUGAUUGAGGAGAAAAAACGAAAGACAGAUAACCAAAAUCAGGAAUGAAAAGGAAGACAUCACUGCCGAUCCUAGAGGUAUUAUAAAGAAUACUUUUUUAAAUAAAUGAACUCCAAUUUCUUACUCUGGGUAAACAAAGCCCUGUCUCAUCUAAUUCAUACAUUCAUCUCAUUUUAUACAGUUUUCUCUCUCAUCUACUGUGCAGCCAUUAAACAUGCCAAGUUUGUUUCUCUCAUAGGGUCUUCAUUACCAACUAAUGCAAAGUAAUGCAAUGACUGUCUCCUUGUCUCAGAUUUAAAUAUAACCUCCUCAGAAAGGCCUUUCCUGACCACUCAAUCUAAGAGAGCAACCUGUUAUUCUUCAUAUCAUUCAAUUUUAAUUCCUUAAUUAGCUCAUGCUAUUUACUUCAUAAUUGUUUGCUCCCCACUCCAGACAUAAAACACAUCAGAGUAGGAUCUUUAUCUUGCUCAUCACUCUAUCCCAGAGUGCUCGAUAAAUAUUUGUUGAUUGAAGUACCAUCUUCUGAUUCAGUCACAGAGAGGUAGGCCAUGAGGGAAAUAAGGAAAAAAGUAGAAACAAGAAAUAAAGAAAAAUCAGAAACAAUUUAAGACCCUAUUGUGUGCAAAAGGGAAGUGGAAAGAAGAGACAAGAAAAUACAUAAAGGGGUUAAAAGAGAGGAAAAUAAUUAGAUAGUAUUGCUGUUGUGUUUUGGAAAAACUCUUAAUUAGAAGGAAAGGAACUAACUUUAUUAAGCUACCUCUAUGUAGGAAAACUAAAUUACCAGGUGAUGUGGGGGUUUUUUUUGAAAGAUUUUAUUUCAACUUACAGGCAUCACCAAAAUUAUUUUCCUCAUUUUCAACCUUUUCCUAGGAAGAAAAGAAAGUGAGUUAUUUUAUUCUAUAGAUGGAAAAACAAAAGCCUAUUUGUUUUAAUCAAGUAAAAUUGUCAAGGAUGACUGGCAGUGCCAUUCACUGAGAAGGAAUAUUAGAAGAAGUGUUUUGGAGGGAAAUCAUGAGUUUCAAUUUUAACAGGUUAAAAUUUAGAUAUUUUGAAAUAUCCAAGUAGAGGUGUUGACAAGAUAAUGGGAUACUUCACUCAGAGGAGAGGUCUGAGCUGAAGAUCUAAAUCUUUGAUGUAUGGAUGGUAAUUGAAGCCAUAGGCAUAGAUGUGAGUGUCUAGAGAGAAAGAACAGCAUAUGAAAAAAUGGGGUUUCAUGGAUGUAUCUUAAGGAGCUCCAAUAUUCAAUGGUUAGGUGGUACGAGACAAGCCUUUGAAGGAGACUGAGAAGGAAUGGUCAGGAGAAUAUGGUUUCAUGAAAGCCAAGGGUAUUUACUGUUUCAAGGAAAAGAAUGGUCAGCAGUGUUGAAUGCUGCUGAGACACCAAAGAAAAUGAGAAUUGAAAAUGUUUAUUACCUUUAGUGACAUUGAAGUCUCUGACCUCAGUGAAAGUAAUUUUAGCAGAGUGGAGAUGGAAUCUGAGUCAUUUUAACAUCCACAGUACCUUUCCGUAGAGUAGAUAUUUGAUAUGAUUUUUCAUUUUCUUUACCAUGAAAUGUAUAAUUAUGCAGAAGAAAGUAUAAUGUAUAUGUAGUAUUUGAAAAAUAAAGUGAACAACAUUUAUCCAUAACCCAACUUAGGAAACAGAACUUUAGAAGACACCCAUAUGCUCCUCCCUGUUUGCAUCUACCUUCUUCAUCUGCCCAGAUAUACCACUCUUAAACUGUUGUAAUAAGUUUUCCCGCCAGGUGCAGUGGCUCACGCCUGUAAUCCCAGCAUUUUGGGAGGCCGAGGCGGGUGGAUCACGAGGUCAAGAGAUCGAGACCAUCCUGGCCAACAUGGUGAACCCCUGUCUCUACUAAAAAUACAAAAAUUACCUGGGCGUGGUGGUGGGUAGCUGUAGUCCCAGCUACUCGGGAGGCUGAGGCAGGAGAAUCUCUUGAACCUGGGAGGUGGAAGUUGCAGUGAGCCGAGAUCGCACCACUGCACUUCAGCCUGGCGACAGGGUGAGACUCCAUCUCAAAAAAAAAAAAAAAAAAAAAAGUGGGCCGGGCGCAGUGGCUCACGCCUGUAAUCCCAGCACUUUGGGAGCCUGAGGUGGGUGGAUCACGAGGUCAGGAGAUCAAGACCAUCCUGGCUAACACAGUGAAACCCCAUGUCUACUAAAAAUAAAAAAAUAAAAAAAAUUUAAAAAGUCGGGCGUGGUGGCAGGCGCCUGUAGUCCCAGAUACUUGGGAGGCUGAGGCAGGAGAAUGGCAUGAACCCAGGAGGCGAGAUCGCGCCACUGCACUCCAGCCUGGGCCACAGAGCAAGAAUCCAUCUCAAAAAAAAGAGUUUUCCCUUGCUUUUCUUUUAUAGUUUUACAACAUAUGAGUGACUUCCUAAACAAUAUACUGUUAUUUUUACAAUAUACUUUUUUAGUUUUAACUGGUUUUGAACUCUGUAUAAAUGGAAUUAUACUGUAUUCAUUCUGAGUCUUGCUUCUUUUGUUCAGCAUUAUCUUUUUGAGAUUUGUCUGUGUUGAUACCUGAGAUUGUAUGUCAUUUUCACUGUUGUAUAGCAUUCCAUUGAAUUAACAUGCCAUAAUGUAUUUUUACAUUCUGCUUUUGAUUGGUAUUUGGGUCAUUUCCAGUUUUUUGGUUUUUUGCUUUAAAAAGCAAUUCCACCGUGAACAUCAUUAUCAUGUCACCUUAUGAAUAUGUGCAAGAGUUUUUCUAAGAUAGGUGUAUAGAUAAGAAUAGAAUUGCUAGGCCAUAUCAUAUGGGUAUGUUCAACUCUAUUGUGAAAUACCAAACUGUUUUCUAAAGUGAUUGAAUCAUUUUUUACUCCUACCCAUUCCAUGUGAACAUAACCAUUGCUCUGUAUCCUCCCCAGUGUUUGAUAUUGUCAGUCUCUAGAAUUGUUGCCAAUUUCAUGAGUAUGAAAUUUUAUCCUAUUGUAGUUUUAAUUUGCAUUUUCUUGAUUAUUAAUAAAGUGAAGUUUUUAAAUGUCUA
rnacentral:lncRNA from 1 species